rnacentral:rRNA from 1 species
AGCUACAGGCUUAACACAUGCAAGUCGAGGGGAAACGACAUCGAAAGCUUGCUUUUGAUGGGCGUCGACCGGCGCACGGGUGAGUAACGCGUAUCCAACCUGCCCAUCACUUGGGGAUAACCUUGCGAAAGUAAGACUAAUACCCAAUGAUAUCUCUAGAAGACAUCUGAAAGAGAUUAAAGAUUUAUCGGUGAUGGAUGGGGAUGCGUCUGAUUAGCUUGUUGGCGGGGUAACGGCUCACCAAGGCGACGAUCAGUAGGGGUUCUGAGAGGAAGGUCCCCCACAUUGGAACUGAGACACGGUCCAAACUCCUACGGGAGGCAGCAGUGAGGAAUAUUGGUCAAUGGACGAGAGUCUGAACCAGCCAAGUAGCGUGCAGGAUGACGGCCCUAUGGGUUGUAAACUGCUUUUAUAAGGGAAUAAAGUGAGUCUCGUGAGACUUUUUGCAUGUACCUUAUGAAUAAGGACCGGCUAAUUCCGUGCCAGCAGCCGCGGUAAUACGGAAGGUCCGGGCGUUAUCCGGAUUUAUUGGGUUUAAAGGGAGCGUAGGCCGGAGAUUAAGCGUGUUGUGAAAUGUAGACGCUCAACGUCCGCACUGCAGCGCGAACUGUUUUCCUUGAGUACGCACAAAGUGGGCGGAAUUCGUGGUGUAGCGGUGAAAUGCUUAGAUAUCACGAAGAACUCCGAUUGCGAAGGCAGCUCACUGGAGCGCAACUGACGCUGAAGCUCGAAAGUGCGGGUAUCGAACAGGAUUAGAUACCCUGGUAGUCCGCACGGUAAACGAUGGAUGCCCGCUGUUGGUCUGAAUAGGUCAGCGGCCAAGCGAAAGCAUUAAGCAUCCCACCUGGGGAGUACGCCGGCAACGGUGAAACUCAAAUG